CCGCAGAGAGCCUGCAUCUCGAAGUAGCUCUAUUAUAUUUCUCUCACACACGUUAAGCUAUCAUACCAAAAUGACCAACGAAGGCGAAGGACAACUCUGGGGUGGUGACUGCGUGUGCAGUACUGCACAACAUUUGCAUUGGUGUGGGCGAUGACCUCCCAGUGGAGGAUGGGGCCAUGGAGGGAGAUGACCCUCCUCUUGAAGGAGAAUGUGGCACGGAGUCACAGAGUGGAGCUCCUUGGCGUGCGGCCCUGGCCAAUGCCAUUACCCCCCUUGAAGUGGCUCCACAGGACCACGACUACUUUGUUCUGCCUGUGACCGGACCAAGACAUACAUUUUAACAUACAUUUUUUUUAUAUUAUUUAAUCACUUUUGUCCAUUAUGAAUGUGUUUUUUGUUGUGGUUGAUCGAAUCCUCUUUAUUUAAAAAAAUCAAUUACAUUUUUGUAAAACUAAGUGAAAUUGUCUGAGAACUUAAUUUAUGCAUCACAUUUACAGUAUGGUUGAUUAUUAAUUAUGCAGGGGGAAAAAAGACAAAGAAAGUGUUGAUAAACAUGUAUUUAUUUUUAUAGAUAACUGAUUGGAUCUCAUUCAUACAUACAUACAUACAGACAUACAUACAUACACACACACACAUACCAUCGUUCAUUCAUUCACGCCUCUCAACCAAACGAUCAAGGAGAGAAAAAACGGUCAAACCGCUCUCUUGACUCCACCUCUCUCCUCUCAUCCGCCUGCCGCUGAUAAAGAAUAUCCUCCCUCACCAGAAUCAGGAAGGGAUCCUCCCUCCCUCUUCUCCCUGCUCCUGC
ensembl:lncRNA